rnacentral:rRNA from 1 species
CCGGUUCUAACUCAGAUCACGUAAAAUUUUAAAGGUCGAACUGACCUAAUAUUUCAGCUGCUACACCAAAAAUAAAUUUUAAUCCAACAUCGAGGUCGCAAACUUCUUAAUCAAUAAGAACUUUCAAAAUAAAUUACGCUGUUAUCCCUAAGGUAAUUUAAUCUUGUAAUCUAAAAAAUAGGAUCAAAAAAUCAUUAAUCAAUGUUAAAAUAAUAAAAAGUUAAACAAAUUUUUAUGUCACCCCAACAAAAUGUCUUAAAAAAUAAAAGAUAAUAAAAAUCCUUAAACAUGUUAUUUUAUUUACAUUAAACUCUAUAGGGUCUUCUCGUCUUUCUAAAAAAUUUAAGCUUUCUCACUUAAAAAUAAAUUUCUAAACCAUCUAAUAUAAGACAGUUAAUUUAUCAUCAAACCAUUCAUUCCAGCUUCUAAUUAAGAAACUAAUGAUUAUGCUACCUUUGAACAGUCAAUAUACUGCAGCCAUUUAAAUAUUCAUAGGGCAGGCCUUACCUUAAAUCAUAAAC